GUCAUACUCACUACUGUACCCCUUAUGCUACACCCAUCAUAGGGGAUUAUGUAAUAGUUGGAAUAAAUGAAGGAAAGAAUAAAUGAGCCAACUGAAUUGACAGAGAGUAUUACUCUACACUGAAAGCCCACACCCUCAUCCCUACCCCAACAGCUAUUGGUAGAAAAUUUCAAAUUUGGAUUUGAAUUAACUGUGGAUUAACUGUGUUCCUAAAUGAAUUUAUGUAAUUUGACAGGAGAAUCCCUUUCAAAGGACCAUAGGAAAUUUGUAUUUGGAAAUUCUAUCCUUACAUAUCCAAAAAGGUAGCAUGGGUUAUAAAAACUUAAAUGGAAAUAAAAGGGAAAGGGCACUUAGAAUAUAUUAUUUUCUAAAUAUUUCAUAUCAAGAAAAUAUUGAGAAAUUAUAUUUCACCACAGAACUGAAUAGGAA
rnacentral:lncRNA from 1 species